rnacentral:rRNA from 1 species
UAUGGUGGUUAUGCCGGGGGUGUUCACCUCUUCCCAUACCGAACAGAGAAGUUAAGUCCCCCAUGGCCAAUGGUACUGGUACACCAACCGGGAGAGUAGGUAGCUGCCAUAU